GUCACAGGCAACCAUUGGCAUUAGUUACAGGCUUGCUUUGAUUGGACAGAUGACCAUUAGCAGUUGUUACAGGUUUGGUUUGAUUGGAUGAUGACCAUUAGCAGUUGUUACAGGUUUGGUUUGAUUGGAUGAUAACCAUUAGCGGUUGUUACAGGUUUGAUUUGAUUGGAUGAUAACCAUUAGCGGUUGUUACAGGUCUGGUUUGAUUGGAUGAUAACCAUUAGCAGUUGUUACAGGUUUGGUUUGAUUGGAUGAUAACCAUUAGCGGUUGUUACAGGUUUGGUUUGAUUGGAUGAUAACCAUUAGCGGUUGUUACAGGUUUGGUUUGAUUGGAUGAUAACCAUUAGCGGUUGUUACAGGUUUGGUUUGCUUGGAUGAUGACCAUUAGCGGCUGUUACAGGUUUGGUUUGAUUGGAUGAUGACCAUUAGCAGUUGUUACAGGUUUGGUUUGAUUGGAUGAUUACCAUUAGCGGUUGUUAAAGGUUUGGUUUGACUGGAUGAUAACCAUUAGCGGUUGUUACAGGUUUGGUGUGAUUGGAUGAUAACCAUUAGCGGUUGUUACAGGUUUGGUUUGAUUGGACGAUAACCAUUAGCAUUUGUUAAAGGUUUGGUUUGAUUGGAUUAUAACCAUUAGCAGUUGUUACAGGUUUGGUUUGAUUGGAUGAUAACCAUUAGCAGUUGUUACAG